ACUCAAAUGAAUAGACGGGGACCCGCACAAGCGGUGGAUGAUGUGGAUUAAUUCGAUGCAACGCGAAAAACCUUACCUACCCUUGACAUGUCAAGAAUUUCGCAGAGAUGUGGAAGUACUCGCAAGAGAACUUGAGCACAGGUGCUGCAUGGCUGUCGUCAGCUCGUGUCGUGAGAUAUUGGGUUAAGUCCCGCAACGAGCGCAACCCUUAUCAUUAGUUGCUACGUAAAAGAGCACUCUAAUGAGACUGCCGGUGACAAACCGGAGGAAGGCGGGGAUGACGUCAAGUCCUCAUGGCCCUUAUGGGUAGGGCUUCACACGUCAUACAAUGGUGCAUACAAAGGGAAGCCAACCCGUGAGGGGGAGCCGAUCUCAGAAAAUGCAUCGUAGUCCGGAUUGCACUCUGCAACUCGAGUGCAUGAAGUUGGAAUCGCUAGUAAUCGCAGAUCAGCAUGCUGCGGUGAAUACGUUCCCGGGUCUUGUACACACCGCCCGU
rnacentral:rRNA from 1 species